AUGCAUGUAUGUGUGCAUGUAUGCAUGCAUGCAUGUAUGUAUGUAUGGUGCACUUGUGUGUGUGUG
ncrna:Rattus norvegicus (Norway rat) microRNA rno-mir-297 precursor